rnacentral:rRNA from 1 species
UGGGGGAUAUUGCACAAUGGGCGAAAGCCUGAUGCAGCGACGCCGCGUGGGGGAUGAAGGCCUUCGGGUUGUAAACUUCUUUUGCUCUGAACAAGGCAUGCUAAUGGGUGUGUUGAGUGUAGGGGUUGAUUAGCGCCGGCUAACUACGUGCCAGCAGCCGCGGUAAUACGUAGGGCGCGAGCGUUGUCCGGAAUUAUUGGGCGUAAAGGGCUUGUAGGUGGCUGGUUGCGUCUGUCGUGAAAGCUCAUGGCUUAACUGUGGGUUUGCGGUGGGUACGGGCUGGCUUGAGUGCAGUAGGGGAGGCUGGAAUUCCUGGUGUAGCGGUGGAAUGCGCAGAUAUCAGGAUGAAUACCGGUGGCGAAGGCGGGUCUCUGGGCUGUUACUGACACUGAGGAGCGAAAGCAUGGGGAGCGAACAGG